CACCCAGUUAGACAGCUAUGCAGCUGAACACAGCAUACCACAAGUCACCACAUGUGGAAGACACUUUCCUGGCUCCUCAUAUCCUCCUACACUGGUAACAAGAUAUUAUUCACACUGAAUGGAGACCCUGUGACUC
rnacentral:lncRNA from 1 species